UACAGAGGGUGCGAGCGUUAAUCGGAAUUACUGGGCGUAAAGCGCACGUAGUCGGCUUUGCAAGUCGGUUGUGAAAUCCCCGGGCUCAACCUGGGAACUGCAUCCGAGACUGCAUUGCUAGAGUAUGGGAGAGGAAAGCGGAAUUUCUGGUGUAGCAGUGAAAUGCGUAGAUAUCAGAAGGAACAUCAGUGGCGAAAGGCGGCUUU
rnacentral:rRNA from 1 species